CCUACGGGAUGCAGCAGUGGGGAAUAUUGGACAAUGGGCGAAAGCCUGAUCCAGCCAUGCCGCGUGUGUGAAGAAGGCCUUCGGGUUGUAAAGCACUUUCAAUGGGGAAGAAAGCCUUGGGGCUAAUACCCUCGAGGAAGGACAUCACCCACAGAAGAAGCACCGGCUAACUCCGUGCCAGCAGCCGCGGUAAUACGGAGGGUGCGAGCGUUAAUCGGAAUUACUGGGCGUAAAGCGCGCGUAGGCGGUCUGAUAAGCCGGUUGUGAAAGCCCCGGGCUCAACCUGGGAACGGCAUCCGGAACUGUCAGGCUAGAGUGCAGGAGAGGAAGGUAGAAUUCCCGGUGUAGCGGUGAAAUGCGUAGAGAUCGGGAGGAAUACCAGUGGCGAAGGCGGCCUUCUGGACUGACACUGACGCUGAGGUGCGAAAGCGUGGGUAGCAAACAGGAUUAGAUACCCGAGUAGUC
rnacentral:rRNA from 1 species